rnacentral:rRNA from 1 species
GUGGGGGAUAUUGCACAAUGGGGGAGACCCUGAUGCAGCGACGCCGCGUGGGUGAAGGAGCACUUCGGUGCGUAAAGCCCUGUCAGCAGGGAAGAGAGGGCCCUUGAGGCCUCAGACGGUACCUGAAGAAGAAGCCCCGGCUAACUACGUGCCAGCAGCCGCGGUAAUACGUAGGGGGCGAGCGUUAUCCGGAUUUACUGGGUGUAAAGGGAGCGCAGACGGCAGGGCAAGCCCGGAGUGAAAGCCCAAGGCCCAACCAUGGGACUGCUCUGGGAACUGUCAGGCUAGAGUGCAGGAGGGGUGAGCGGAAUUCCUGGUGUAGCGGUGAAAUGCGCAGAUAUCAGGAGGAACACCGGUGGCGAAGGCGGCUCACUGGACUGUGACUGACGUUGAGGCUCGAAAGCGUGGGGAGCAAACAGGA